rnacentral:misc_RNA from 1 species
AUCAAAGCUCCUGUUCCUCUAGUAAAUCCCUCUCUGUCUAAAUAUUAAUUAAUGUCUAGAUACUGUUUUUUUCUCGGUUUAUAUUGAUUAAUGGCUUGUUAGGCGUCUCAAAAAGUCUAUAUUGUUGUCUCUGAAUUUUUCUGUGUUCGCAGAUUGAUACUGUAAUUGAGGGAUUGUGCUUGCAAGAGUUUGGUGUGAAUUGUUUCUAUAAUUUCUUUUUCUAAUAUUUGACCCAUUUUUCAUUUGAGCUUUUGAUCUCGAUCUAUGAUUUUCCCCUUUUUCUCUCAUCCAGCAUCGAUGAUCCUGUGGUGGACUGUUGUUCAUCUGGGGUAUUGACAAAUUGGACCUUUUUAUCUUUUCCUUUCCGGUUGCAUGCGGAGAAAAUUGAGGAAAUGAGAAGAUGAAUAGGAAUUCAUAUUAUAUAUGCAGUCAUCCAUACGCACAUGAGCUUCUUUUUUUUUUUUUUUUGAAAUAAACUUGUUUGGGAUUAAGGCUUAUUCUUGUUGUUUUGAAAAGAAACUUGUCACUCUACUAGUUUUAGACAUGAUACAAAUACGAAUGCAUUGUCUCUCUUGACAAUUUUGAAUCCAAUGCUUAAGCAUUCAUCUUGAAUGUAAUACAGUUCAAAUUGUGUCAUAUAGAAGGUUG